rnacentral:rRNA from 1 species
AUUGAACGCUGGCGGCAGGCCUAACACAUGCAAGUCGAGCGGUAGCACGGGAGAGCUUGCUCUCUGGGUGACGAGCGGCGGACGGGUGAGUAAUGUCUGGGAAACUGCCUGAUGGAGGGGGAUAACUACUGGAAACGGUAGCUAAUACCGCAUGAUGUCGCAAGACCAAAGUGGGGGACCUUCGGGCCUCACGCCAUCGGAUGUGCCCAGAUGGGAUUAGCUAGUAGGUGGGGUAAUGGCUCACCUAGGCGACGAUCCCUAGCUGGUCUGAGAGGAUGACCAGCCACACUGGAACUGAGACACGGUCCAGACUCCUACGGGAGGCAGCAGUGGGGAAUAUUGCACAAUGGGCGCAAGCCUGAUGCAGCCAUGCCGCGUGUGUGAAGAAGGCCUUAGGGUUGUAAAGCACUUUCAGCGAGGAGGAAGGCGUUGUAGUUAAUAACUGCAACGAUUGACGUUACUCGCAGAAGAAGCACCGGCUAACUCCGUGCCAGCAGCCGCGGUAAUACGGAGGGUGCAAGCGUUAAUCGGAAUUACUGGGCGUAAAGCGCACGCAGGCGGUUUGUUAAGUCAGAUGUGAAGUCCCCGAGCUUAACUUGGGAACUGCAUUUGAAACUGGCAAGCUAGAGUCUUGUAGAGGGGGGUAGAAUUCCAGGUGUAGCGGUGAAAUGCGUAGAGAUCUGGAGGAAUACCGGUGGCGAAGGCGGCCCCCUGGACAAAGACUGACGCUCAGGUGCGAAAGCGUGGGGAGCAAACAGGAUUAGAUACCCUGGUAGUCCACGCUGUAAACGAUGUCGACUUGGAGGUUGUGCCCUUGAGGCGUGGCUUCCGGAGCUAACGCGUUAAGUCGACCGCCUGGGGAGUACGGCCGCAAGGUUAAAACUCAAAUGAAUUGACGGGGGCCCGCACAAGCGGUGGAGCAUGUGGUUUAAUUCGAUGCAACGCGAAGAACCUUACCUACUCUUGACAUCCAGAGAAUUUGCUAGAGAUAGCUUAGUGCCUUCGGGAACUCUGAGACAGGUGCUGCAUGGCUGUCGUCAGCUCGUGUUGUGAAAUGUUGGGUUAAGUCCCGCAACGAGCGCAACCCUUAUCCUUUGUUGCCAGCACGUAAUGGUGGGAACUCAAAGGAGACUGCCGGUGAUAAACCGGAGGAAGGUGGGGAUGACGUCAAGUCAACAUGGCCCUUACGAGUAGGGCUACACACGUGCUACAAUGGCGUAUACAAAGAGAAGCGAACUCGCGAGAGCAAGCGGACCUCAUAAAGUACGUCGUAGUCCGGAUUGGAGUCUGCAACUCGACUCCAUGAAGUCGGAAUCGCUAGUAAUCGUAGAUCAGAAUGCUACGGUGAAUACGUUCCCGGGCCU